GAUGAACGCUGGCGGCGUGCUUAACACAUGCAAGUCGAACGAAGCACUUUAUUUGAUUUCCUUCGGGACUGAUUAUUUUGUGACUGAGUGGCGGACGGGUGAGUAACGCGUGGGUAACCUGCCUUGUACAGGGGGAUACAGUUGGAAACGGCUGCUAAUACCGCAUAAGCGCACAGCAUCGCAUGAUGCAGUGUGAAAAACUCCGGUGGUAUAAGAUGGACCCGCGUUGGAUUAGCUAGUUGGUGAGGUAACGGCCCACCAAGGCGACGAUCCAUAGCCGAACUGAGAGGGUGACCGGCCACAUUGGGACUGAGACACGGCCCAAACUCCUACGGGAGGCAGCAGUGGGGAAUAUUGCACAAUGGGCGAAAGCCUGAUGCAGCGACGCCGCGUGAGCGAAGAAGUAUUUCGGUAUGUAAAGCUCUAUCAGCAGGGAAGAUAAUGACGGUACCUGACUAAGAAGCACCGGCUAAAUACGUG
rnacentral:rRNA from 1 species